rnacentral:lncRNA from 1 species
UCCAGCUGUUUUAUCUGAUAAUUUGUGGUUGGUCGGAAACCUGGAGGGCCCACUUAGCUUCUAUUAUUUCAAGAACAGCAUUAAUGUUGUCUAACCACAGGAGCAAAACCAGGGGCGCAUGGAGAUUUCCAUUUUUUAGCCACUGUUCUCUAUGCAAAUUUGGAGUUGUGUGCAUUCAAUCAUUUGUGCUUUUUUUUUGCUUCAUUCUCUUCUUCUUUUUGAAAAAUUACACUAGAACUCAAGCAAAAUGCUCAGAUAUGAUGUGCAAUUCAGACCUUUGAU